UACGAAGGGUGCAAGCGUUACUCGGAAUUACUGGGCGUAAAGCGUGCGUAGGUGGUGCGUUAAGUCUGUCGUGAAAGCCCCGGGCUCAACCUGGGAAUGGCGAUGGAUACUGGCGCGCUAGAGUGCGGUAGAGGAGAGUGGAAUUCCCGGUGUAGCAGUGAAAUGCGUAGAGAUCGGGAGGAACAUCAGUUGCGAAGGCGGCUCUCUGGACCAGCACUGACACUGAGGCACGAAAGCGUGGGGAGCGAACAGG
rnacentral:rRNA from 1 species